rnacentral:sRNA from 1 species
GCAUUGUUGGAUAUCAAUGGCGGAGUACAGCAGUAACAUGGCAUUGAUGAGUAUGAAUCUUCCAAAAGCUUGAAAAGCACAUUAAUGAUGCAACCUCAGACAAGCCCAAAAAUAAUGCUGUUAUGAAAUUAAUGUUGAAUGAACAACUUCCCAUGGAAGCUUUGACUCUUUGCAAGGAGGGAUAUUGAUAGACAGUAGGAGAUUAGAUAUGACUUUGGACUCUGUAGCAGCACUGUGAUGCACGUUCCAUAGAUUCUUCUGACCACUGCACUGAUUCAUAAGAUGUCAGACAUGAACAGAGAGCAUUCUAGAGAGGGACACAAUGGUAACUCAUGUAGAUGUUCCACUAACUAGUUAAGAUGGGCUCUUAACUGAUACUACAGUCUACUCAGGACCAUGCAACUUCACAUGUUCAACAGCUUAGGCAUUUUACUACAGGGAGGAAUUUGAAGGCAAAUCCUGUUGAAACACACCCAGAUGUUCCACAGAUUCUGCAGAACAGUGAAGCCAUAAUUACCGUAUAUACUUAUUCUACAGAUUCAACAGGUCAUAAAGGACCAUGUUGCCGAAUAUGUUCAACAGCCUUGCAUAGAAUAUUAGAUAGAAGCUUGUAAUGGUAGGACUGUAGGAGCAUCAGCAUUGUCUGGAAGGAACUAUCAGUGAAGAUUCUAUUGAAGAACACAAGGAUUAUGUCCGAAGUGGUAUAGAAUCAGUGGAUAAACCAUCAUGCACCACAUUACCAUCAAAGAAAAAAUGGACAAUGGAAUAGGACAUUUGAAUUUUAUAUGGACUUUUUUAAAGAUUAAAGUGUACCAAGAGAGGCAGAAGCACUGAAAGUAAAAAACAAAUGCAAUUUUCUUGCUGAUAGAAGUAUUCAUCAGAAAAAGAGUAAAAUGCAACAUAUGCUGAGACUUAAUCAGCAGAUACGAACGCUGAUUCCAAUGAGCCCCCGUUAAACGUAAUGGCGGAAGAUGAGGAUGCAAAUUUAGGACGUUUGGUCUUGCAGUAACAAAUGAUUCUGUAAUAAACCCUUUAAAUUUAAACAGUAAUUGGAAGAUUAUCUCCUCAUGAAAUACCCUGGACUUAUUUAUAAACAAGAGUCGUCUGUAUGCUUCAUGUUUUAGAUUGAAGAUUGAAUGUGUAUGUGUUAUAUCUGUAUUACUCUCUCUGCUUCCCAUCUGCAACAUGUGUACCUGUGGUGUAACCUCAUGGUUUAGUUUUUAUUCGUUUUAAAAUCUUAAUAUCAGCAAUAAGAUGUUGUAAUUUCUUAUGUGUUACUUUUAUGUUUAAGGUCAAGUGAACAUGAUUGAAAUAUGUAUUGCAUAUAUUUUAAAAGUAUAUUACAAUGUAAUUUAGAAUACUUAUAGUUUUUAAAAAAGGACAAUCAUAUUAAUAUCUAAUAUUUACAUGUAGUGUAUAUUUCCCCUUAUGUUUGCAGAGGACAUCUGUGACGUUCAAUUUCUCAUGACACCUGUGGGUUUUAGCUCUGCUGGCCAUAGACCAGAAGAGUGUAUGCGAUGAUCUGUUUGUGUAGCUUUCUGUUUGUCUCUCUGUGAACAAUUUUCAAAUGCAGCUACUAUUACAGCUAUCAAGAAUGUUCACAUAUAUAUACAUGUCUUGUGUUUGUAAUCAUGCAUGACACAUUUUUCUAACUUUGAGAAAUAAAAUAUAUAAUCUUUAACUGAC